rnacentral:rRNA from 1 species
UACAGAGGGGGCUAGCGUUGUUCGGAAUUACUGGGCGUAAAGCGCACGUAGGCGGCUUUGUAAGUUAGAGGUGAAAGCCCGGAGCUCAACUCCGGAACUGCCUUUAAGACUGCAUCGCUUGAACGUCGGAGAGGUAAGUGGAAUUCCGAGUGUAGAGGUGAAAUUCGUAGAUAUUCGGAAGAACACCAGUGGCGAAGGCGACUUACUGGACGACUGUUGACGCUGAGGUGCGAAAGCGUGGGGAGCAAACAGG